rnacentral:rRNA from 1 species
GACGAACGCUGGCGGCGUGCCUAAUACAUGCAAGUCGAACGCUUCUUUCCUCCCGAGUGCUUGCACUCAAUUGGAAAGAGGAGUGGCGGACGGGUGAGUAACACGUGGGUAACCUACCCAUCAGAGGGGGAUAACACUUGGAAACAGGUGCUAAUACCGCAUAACAGUUUAUGCCGCAUGGCAUAAGAGUGAAAUGCGCUUUCGGGUGUCGCUGAUGGAUGGACCCGCGGUGCAUUAGCUAGUUGGUGAGGUAACGGCUCACCAAGGCCACGAUGCAUAGCCGACCUGAGAGGGUGAUCGGCCACACUGGGACUGAGACACGGCCCAGACUCCUACGGGAGGCAGCAGUAGGGAAUCUUCGGCAAUGGACGAAAGUCUGACCGAGCAACGCCGCGUGAGUGAAGAAGGUGUUCGGAUCGUAAAACUCUGUUGUUAGAGAAGAACAAGGACGUUAGUAACUGAACGUCCCCUGACGGUAUCUAACCAGAAAGCCACGGCUAACUACGUG